AAGAAGCGAAGCAGUGAUGUGAAGCAAAACUCAAAAAAGUAAGUCUCAGUUCGGAUUGAAGGCUGAAAUUCGCCUUCAUGAAGCCGGAAUUGCUAGUAAUGGCAGGUCAGCAUACUGCCGUGAAUACGUUCCCGGGCCUUGUACACACCGCCCGUCACACCAUGAGAGUUGGGGAUACCCGAAGCCUGUGAGCUAACUUUUAGAGGCAGCAGUCGAAGGUAGAAUCAAUGAUUGGGGUGAAGUCGUAACAAGGUACC
rnacentral:rRNA from 1 species